rnacentral:rRNA from 1 species
CAGUAGCCACGGUAAAACGGAGGGUGCAAGCGUUACUCGGAAUCACUGGGCGUAAAGGGAGCGCAGGCGGGCAUGUAAGUCUUUCUUAAAAGUUCGGGGCUCAACCCCGUGAUGGGAAAGAAACUACAUGUCUUGAGUACAGGAGAGGAAAGCGGAAUUCCCAGUGUAGCGGUGAAAUGCGUAGAUAUUAGGAAGAACACCAGUGGCGAAGGCGACUUUCUGGACGAAAACUGACGCUGAGGCGCGAAAGCCAGGGGAGCGAACGGGAUUAGAUACCCCUGUAGUCCCUGUCUCUUAUACA